rnacentral:rRNA from 1 species
GACGAACGCUGGCGGCGUGCUUAACACAUGCAAGUCGAACGGAAAGGCCCUGCUGUUGUGGGGUGCUCGAGUGGCGAACGGGUGAGUAACACGUGAGUAACCUGCCCUUGACUUUGGGAUAACUUCAGGAAACUGGGGCUCAUACCGGAUAGGAGCUCCUGCUGCAUGGUGGGGGUUGGAAAGUUUCGGCGGCUGGGGAUGGUCGGGGGGCUUAUCAGCUUGUUGGUGGGGUAGUGGCUUACCAAGGCUUUGACGGGUAGCCGGCCUGAGAGGGUGACCGGGCACAUUGGGACUGAGAGAGGGCCCAGACUCGUACGGGAGGCAGCAGGGGGGAGUAUGGCACAAUGGGACGAAGCCUGAUGCAGCAGCGCCGCGUGCGGGAUGACGGCCUGCGGGUUGUAAACCGCUUUCGCCUGUGACGAAGCGUGAGUGACGGUAAUGGGUGAAGAAGCACCGGCUAACUACGUG